CACAAACGACACUACAAAAGUGCCUUGCAGGUCAGAAAAGACGAGGCAUUUCUUGGAGAUGCACAAACACAUUUUGGAACAUGCCGCAGGGUUGGACCUUCAUUAUACUGACACAUUCUGCAGAUGCUUUGUUUGAUUGAGAUCUGGGAAUUCGGGGGCCUUUUCCCUUUUUCCAUUAUUUUGUGGUUCAGUGCUGACAUGCACUUGCCCAUUGUUGAUGGUUUCAGUUGUGGGCAGGGACCAAGAAAGAUGUCUGGUCUUGCCUGUGGGUGACAUUAGUGAGCCUUGGAUGCACGUGACUCUGUUGCUGGUUUGACAGAUUUCCAUCCUUGGACCACUUUUAAUAGGUACUGACCACCACAAACCUGGAAUACCCCACAAGAGCUGCAAUUUUAGUAAAGAAGCUGAAUGUAAACUUGAGUGCAGACGUGAUAUGUGGAGACGUUGGUGCUUGUAGCGAAUGGAUCCAGUGCGCAAAGACCGUAACACCACAACCUCAGUGUGGCGUUUGAAGGUUUUCUCAAGUAAACCAUUGUAAAGGGGGCUACUGACCAUGUCUCUAUUUUUUGAUAGAGAUGACAGGUUGAAGCAGUCCUCAGGGAAGGUCAGCUCAGCCCUGAUCCUCUAAAUUAUUCUAAGUUUUGAGUCUUGAGGAAAAAACUGCAGAUUUAAACCAACAGAUGAGUCUGUCAAAUCUCUUCCUUUAAAACACGUUUUGGUAGGCAUACACUGACUCCUGGGAACCAUGAGCGAGCCCCUUCUUCUUUAUGCAAGAUAUGAACUCUGUUUUUAAUGGAGUCAUCCUGAGUUCCUCGGUGUAAAGACUCCUCCCUAAUGUGCUCACAAUAUUAGGCCUUUUAAAAAGUGGUCUCUCAAAAAAUGCUCAGUCAUAAACUUAUUAUGGCCCUCAUAAUAAGGGCCUCCUCUCUAAAUACACAGCUCUACUGUUUUGAUAUCAUAUGGAUUCAUACAGAGGUGUCUUUGGAAACUCAGCUUCAUGGUUUUAAUACAUGUUAAUCAUCUUGUACUCAGUACAUACUAGUCCUCUGGCUACUUGGUCACACACCCACUUCUUCUCUGUGGACAACAGUGAUUCUAUGUUACAAUUUUGACAAUGGCUGAAAAACAAAGGAGUCUAUUCCUGGAAAACGCUUCAACUGUGCCGUCUACUGACAGCAUAAAACCUGUGAUGGCCACACAAAAACAGUCUGCGCCCUAAUGUAGUGGAUCAGAUUUACCAUCUCAACAAAACCGUACAGCAGAGGUAGUCUACAAAGAACGUCUUACAUGGUCUUCUCAUAAGGUCAUGGUCUUUGGAGAAAACAAGGUCCCACCCAUCCAAACUAAAGUAAAGGGGCUGGUCUCCCAGCAUUUAAUGACGUAAUAAUUAGAGAACACAAAACUGUGCACUCUUUCUUUAGACCUUAAUGAGGCAGAAAACAUCAAGUUAGAGCUGGUUACCACAAAGGGAAUGAAAGAUAUGGGAAGGACUCCAGCAGUUGGAUCCACACUGGAGGACCUGGAGCUGAGGAAGAAGGAGCUGACAGGAUGAAACGGUGGAGAAGAGGCUACAACAGGAUUCUCAGAACAGAUUCCUGACUGUUCAAGGCCAGUUCAUGACCCACCACUGGACUGAAAAACAGUUUAACUGUUGAGAAAAGGUUUUUGGACAUUCAACCCACACAGAGUACCACUUCUGUAAAUACUUUUUCCAAACAUAUCUGACAUUUUUUGGUCAUGAUUGCACUCUUUGUAAUUUACCAUAUUGUUGUUUUUUUUCAUUCCAAGUUCAAUCAGCUGAUUAUUUUUUUGUAUCAUUUUUUUAAAUGUGUGAAUCACUCAGAAGAGAAAAAUGUACUGUGAUUUAUUUAUGUUUACCCUGCAUACCUUUCACCUGACCUUCAGAACUGAAGCCCAAAGAAGCUGUUUGCAGGUCCAGGAUCAGGUCCAGGAUCAGGAUCAGGAUCAGGAUCAGGUAUGUUUGUAUUGGAAACAUGAAUGCAACUUUUGAGAAAAUGGCAGAGGUGGAUUUAGGUUUGUAUGAGGUCUGACGCUAAUCUGUAUGGCAAAACACACACACGCACGCACACACACACACACACACACACACACAAAAGGACGCUCUUCUUCUCUGCAGGGCAAGGCGCAGGCAUGUAGGUGACUUUCCCGCCACUGCUGCCUCUCUGUUGGUCUCUGGUACUGCAGACUGGUGACAUGGCGCACUCAGAGAAAGUGAAUGGACAUAAACUGCGUUAAUGUUGUUUUGCCCCGGCAGUAGAACAUUCAGGGCUGAGCCCAGUUAGCCACCCCCUAACUCUGCCUGUGGUGAGCGGUAUGACAGACGAAUGACAAUACGACAAUCAGUGAUAAUUCACUUACUGGAAAGUGGCUGAAAUAAUGAUGCAGAAAUGCUCGUAUCACUAGAAAGCGUGGUGUCAGGAUGUUUCUUCCCUUUACAUCACCAGUCUAAUUUGUAAUAUCUACCUGGGACUUCAGCCUGUGGUGGAAAAGCGACCGACAACAAAAGGCCACAGGAACUAUUUCACUCCUCCGAUAAAUCUCCCUAGAAUUCAAAGUUUCUAGAAUCCUUAGUUGAAAAGCAUCUAAAAUACACAAAGACAGCUGUGUCCACAGGGGGCGCCAAACAUGAUUUAAACCAAGAAUUCCUUACAGAAGCUUUAACUGUUUAGAAGUUGUUGCACAAGCGAAUUAGAGAAGCUCGGAUACAGAUUAUAGAAAUAAUCUUUAUCAGAAACACACGAGUGAAUUUGUAUGACUCUGAUACUGAACAUCAUCUGUGAUCUAAAAAAACUGCCCCGGACAUUCGAGUGUUUGUUUCACUCACCGUAUCAGACGGCUGAAUUUCUUCUAUUCUGACACAUUUCCCUGAUUAUAGCGCUGCAUAACCUUUGCUCUGAUCUGUAUCCUGUUGUUUUCUGAGCUAGAUGAGAUCAUGUUUUUCAGGCAGGAUAAAUUCACUUCUCGUUAGUUUCCUGGUUUUGUUUUAUCAAAAGGGAAACAACUGAAGCAGCUGCACAUUCCUCAGCCUCUGCUGAGUGACUGAUGAACUCUCAUGAACCCUCCAUGGUCACUAAAUACGGUGAUUAUCUGUGACAUGAUUACUCAUAAAGGGAGUGAAUGUCACAAAGUGUUUAAACAUUCCAACCCAUGAAUCGUGUCAAAGGUUUGAGUGUGAAAAGAGAUGGAAGGUCCACACAGAUAAAAGUCGGAUCAACUUUAGAGUUUACAGAUCUGAGUUAAAUCUGAGCGAUCUGUGGUGAAACCAGAGGAGACCGAGUUUCUGUUUCCUCAGGAUGUUCCCAGAGAGUGUCGGGGAAGUCUUUCCGGUGUCUGUCUGUCCCUCUCCUGUGUCCUGUGAUAAACUGUGCCAAUCACAGUUGGCACCUCUGUAUUCACAGUGAGUCCAGUUGUCAUGGAAACAGGAUGUUAGAAGAAGUUUGUGUAUGAUGUGAAAGCACGUCUAAAAGCGAAGAACGAGGCAGAGGAGGCACUGCCCCCUCCAGACUAAGAAGGAAAUAUGUAGAUUUUAUGUUGUCAGUUUAUUCCUGUUUUUGUACAGGGCUUUAAGCAUCGCAGGAACAGUAAAUACGACAUGAGCUGCAUGUGUACGGGGAAGCCAUCUUGGUGGGGGCAUCAUUCCCAUUAAAGGAAAUACAUGUUCAUAAAAAAAAAAACAGUCAUAUCUUCAUUUCUCCACUGAUUUUUAUGUGGUUUACUUCAUUGUCAACGCUUAAAUAUAUGGAAUUAAUGCUUUAGAUUUUAAAAAGUUUAAUCAAAUGUUGUGUAUUAUGAUGUGGAUCAGAUAUAUAGAUUUCUACACAUAAUAGAGGGAGUUGAUAUAUGUACACAGCAGAGUGUAUUUAAGCAAAUCAGGUUGGGGAACCCGUGUAUUAAUAUCAUUUUCUUUUUUAUCUUCUAAAGAAAGAACAUUAUUUUUUUUUGGUCUUGAAAAAUAACAUACAUAUUCACCAAUGGAGACAUUUUUUCACCCCUAUUGAUUAAAAAAACAGAUUAGAUAAGUUUCCCUAAAUGUAUGGAUGAUUUUCUUCAGCCAGUCAUGUCAGCCUUUACGGUGGUGGAGCUCAGAUACCUCAGAUCUUUUGGUGCUAGAUUCCUGACGCCAUGAGCCUCUGAAAAUCCUCCUAAACCAGGACCUUCAACACCCGGCUACCAUCACUCAGGUUCCCAAAAUAUGUCGUGAUUUGUUAUUCGCCUACAUGGACUCUCUAAACUGUCAACAGGAUGAAAGCAGAAUGUCUAAAGAUGUGGACGGCUUUAUAAACCAGAACCCUCUCAGACCAGUCUGUGUGACACCCAGAUCUGCAACCAGUAAACCCAGUCUAACUGGUCACUGGUGUGGACCUCACACUAAAUAAACUAUUUUUGUUCAUUGUGUUCUCUGUUUGUUUUUUAGUGACAUUAAACAAACGCACCUGAAGUUAAA
rnacentral:lncRNA from 1 species